rnacentral:rRNA from 1 species
ACGAUACGCCGCGUGAGGAUGAAGGCCUCUGGGCUGUAAACCUCUUUUAUCAAGGAAGAAGAUCUGACGGUACUUGAUGAAUAAGCCACGGCUAAUUCCGUGCCAGUAGCCGCGGUAAUACGGGAGUGGCAAGCGUUAUCCGGAAUUAUUGGGCGUAAAGCGUCCGCAGGCGGUUUUGUAAGUCUGUCGUUAAAGCGUGGAGCUUAACUCCAUUUAGGCGGUGGAAACUACAAGACUAGAGUGUGGUAGGGGCAGAGGGAAUUCCCGGUGUAGCGGUGAAAUGCGUAGAUAUCGGGAAGAACACCAGUGGCGAAGGCGCUCUGCUGGGCCAUAACUGACGCUCAUGGACGAAAGCCAGGGGAGCGAAAGGGAUUAGAUACCCCUGUAGUCCUGGCCGUAAACGAUGAACACUAGGUGUCGGGGGAAUCGACCCCCUCGGUGUCGUAGCCAACGCGUUAAGUGUUCCGCCUGGGGAGUACGCACGCAAGUGUGAAACUCAAAGGAAUUGACGGGGGCCCGCACAAGCGGUGGAGUAUGUGGUUUAAUUCGAUGCAGCGCGAAGAACCUUACCAGAGUUUGAAAUCCUGCGAAUCUCUUGGAAACGAGAAGUGCCUUCGGAGCG